rnacentral:rRNA from 1 species
UACGUAGGGUGCAAGCGUUGUCCGGAAUUAUUGGGCGUAAAGCGUGCGUAACGGUUAUUUAAGUCGGGUGUGAAAGCCCCGGGCUCAACCUGGGAAUUGCAUUCGAGACUGAAUAGCUAGGGUACGGUAGAGGGAAGCGGAAUUUCCGGUGUAGCGGUGAAAUGCGUAGAUAUCGGAAGGAACAUCAGUGGCGAAAGCGGCUUCCUGGACCAGUACCGACGUUCAGGCACGAAAGCGUGGGGAGCAAACAGG